rnacentral:rRNA from 1 species
UACGAGGGGGGCGAGCGUUGUUCGGAAUUAUUGGGCGUAAAGGGCGCGUAGGUGGUGAGGUAAGUCGGAUGUGAAAUCUCCGAGCUCAACUCGGAAAUGGCAUUGGAAACUACCUUGCUCGAGGGUUGGAGGGGGGACCGGAAUGCUUGGUGUAGCAGUGAAAUGCGUAGAUAUCAAGCGGAACACCAGUGGCGAAGGCGAGUCCCUGGACAACUCCUGACACUGAGGCACGAAAGCUAGGGGAGCAAACAGG